UGGGGAAUAUUGCACAAUGGGCGCAAGCCUGAUGCAGCCAUGCCGCGUGUGUGAAGAAGGCCUUCGGGUUGUAAAGCACUUUCAGCGGGGAGGAAGGCGAUAAGGUUAAUAACCUUGUCGACUGACGUUACCUGCAGAAGAAGCACCGGAUAACUCCGUGCCAGCAGCCGCGGUAAUACGGAGGGUGCAAGCGUUAAGCGGAAUUACUGGGCGUAAAGCGCACGCAGGCGGUCGGUCAAGUCGGAUGUAAAAUCCCCGGGCUAAACCUGGGAACUGCAUUCGAAACUGGCAGGCUAGAGUCUUGUAGAGGGGGGUAGAAUUCCAGGUGUAGCGGUGAAAUGCGUAGGGAUCUGGAGGAAUACCGGUGGCGAAGGCGGCCCCCUGGACAAAGACUGACGCUCAGGUGCGAAAGCGUGGGGAGCAAACAGG
rnacentral:rRNA from 1 species